AUUGAACGCUAGCGGCAGGCUUAACACAUGCAAGUCGAGGGGUAGAGGCUUUCGGGCCUUGAGACCGGCGCACGGGUGCGUAACGCGUAUGCAAUCUGCCUUUCACAGAGGGAUAGCCCAGAGAAAUUUGGAUUAAUACCUCAUAGCAUUACAGAGUGGCAUCACUUUGUAAUUAAAGUCACAACGGUGAAAGAUGAGCAUGCGUCCCAUUAGCUAGUUGGUAAGGCAACGGCUUACCAAGGCAACGAUGGGUAGGGGUCCUGAGAGGGAGACCCCUCACCCGGGUACUGAGACACGGACCAGGCUCCUACGGGAGGCAGCAGUGAGGAAUAUUGGUCAAUGGGCGCAAGCUUGAACCAGCAAUGCCGCGUGCAGGAUGACGGUCCUAUGGAUUGUAAACUGCUUUUGUACGGGAAGAAACACUCCUACGUGUAGGAGCUUGACGGUACCGUAAGAAUAAGGAUCGGCUAACUCCGUGCCAGCAGCCGCCGUAAAAC
rnacentral:rRNA from 1 species